rnacentral:rRNA from 1 species
UACGAAGGUCCCAAGCGUUAUCCGGAUUUAUUGGGUUUAAAGGGUGCGUAGGCGGGCUAUUAAGUCAGUGGUGAAAUCCCCAAGCUUAACUUGGGAACUGCAUCCGAUACUGGAUGGCUUGAAUCCGGGAGAGGGAUGCAGAAUUCCAGGUGUAGCGGUGAAAUGCGUAGAUAUCUGGAGGAAUACCGGUGGCGAAGGCGGCAUCCUGGACCGGCAUUGACGCUGAGGAGCGAAAGCUAGGGGAGCAAACGGG